GCACGCAGCAGAGAAGUCCCAACUUAGUGCCUUCUCGUUGUUGAACAGAACAACAUUAUAAAAGCUGCUCGCUUGAUAUCUUAGCUGCCCCACAAUAAUCCUCAUUCAGAGACAAUUCAAGUUUAUUAAAGGCCGUUAAAUCGUUUCGUAGACUUUCGUAAAAUCGGCCGCGUACAUAUAAAUACUCGACAUCGUAAAAUAAUUCUCCCAACUAUGAAAAACCUUCGUAUACGGGAAUAUGAAAGACUGCUUUGCAUGAAUUUCGCAAUUUUCAAGGACUGAUAUCCAUCAGUCCAAAAAAAUGAACCAAUAGAAAUUGUCAAUAAUUUCAAAUUGACCAAUCAAAAUGAAGGAAAUGGACUGAUAAAAACUC
rnacentral:lncRNA from 1 species